rnacentral:rRNA from 1 species
UACGAAGGGGGCUAGCGUUGCUCGGAAUUACUGGGCGUAAAGGGCGCGUAGGCGGCACUGUUAGUCAGGCGUGAAAGUCCUGGGCUCAACCUGGGACUGCGCUUGAUACGGCAGAGCUAGAGGAUGGAAGAGGCUCGCGGAAUUCCCAGUGUAGAGGUGAAAUUCGUAGAUAUUGGGAAGAACACCGGUGGGCGAAGGCGGCGAGCUGGUCCAUUACUGACGGCUGAGGCGCGACAGCGUGGGGAGCGAACAGG